rnacentral:rRNA from 2 species
ACGGAAGGCAGCAGUGGGGAAUAUUGCACAAUGGGCGAAAGCCUGAUGCAGCGACGCCGCGUGAGUGAAGAAGUAUCUCGGUAUGUAAAGCUCUAUCAGCAGGGAAGAAAAUGACGGUACCUGACUAAGAAGCCCCGGCUAACUACGUGCCAGCAGCCGCGGUAAUACGUAGGGGGCAAGCGUUAUCCGGAUUUACUGGGUGUAAAGGGAGCGUAGACGGUUUGGCAAGUCUGAAGUGAAAUGCGGGGGCCCAACUCCUGAACUGCUUUGGAAACUGUCGAACUAGAGUGCAGGAGAGGUAAGUGGAAUUCCUAGUGUAGCGGUGAAAUGCGUAGAUAUUAGGAGGAACACCAGUGGCGAAGGCGGCUUACUGGACUGUAACUGACGUUGAGGCUCGAAAGCGUGGGGAGCAAACAGGAUUAGAUACCCUGGUA